rnacentral:rRNA from 1 species
GACGAACCGUGCGAACGUUAUUCGGAAUCACUGGGCGUAAAGCGCACGUAGGCGGACUCUUAAGUCGGUGGUGAAAUCCUGGAGCUCAACUCCAGAACUGCCUUCGAUACUGAGAGUCUCGAGUCCGGGAGAGGUGAGUGGAACUCCGAGUGUAGAGGUGAAAUUCGUAGAUAUUCGGAAGAACACCAAUGGCGAAGGCGGCUCACUGGUCCGGUACUGACGCUGAGGUGCGAAAGCGUGGGGAGCAAACAGG